GAUGAACGCUGGCGGCGUGCUUAACACAUGCAAGUCGAGCGAAGCACUUUUGCGGAUUUCUUCGGAUUGAAGCAACUGUGACUGAGCGGGCGUGGGUCGAAGGACGCUAGGUAACGUGCUCAUCAGGGGAUAACAGUUGGAAACGACUGCCAAUACCGCAUAAGCGCACAGUACCGCAUGGUACGGUGUGAAAAAACUCCGGUGGUAUGAGAUGGACCCGCGUCUGAUUAGGUAGUUGGUGGGGUAACGGCCUACCAAGCCGACGAUCAGUAGCCGCCUGAGAGGGUGACCGGCCACAUUGGGCUGAGACACGGCCCAA
rnacentral:rRNA from 1 species